rnacentral:misc_RNA from 1 species
UGGCUCUGGCAUNGAUGAAGAACGCAGCGAAAUGCGAUAAGUAAUGUGAAUUGCAGAAUUCAGUGAAUCAUCGAAUCUUUGAACGCACAUUGCGCCCCUUGGUAUUCCGGGGGGCAUGCCUGUUCGAGCGUCAUUAACACCCCUCAAGCCUGGCUUGGUCUUGGGGCUCGCAGUUCGCGGCCCUUAAAAUCAGUGGCGGCGCCGGUCGGCUCUCAGCGUAGUAACUUUUCUCGCUUCAGGGUCGGGCGGCGGCAGCCAAAACCCCUAUUUUUCAGUUUGACCUCGGAUCAGGUAGGGAUACCCGCUGA